AACCAGAGAUGAACACGCUAGGUGAGGUUGCAGAUCAGGCAUAGAGACUGCAAGCAAUCAAGGUUUUGUCCAAGAAUGCGCCCAUUACAUGCUUCUUUAUGUUUUGUUCUGCAGGAUAAAUAUUGCAAGUGAAUUGGUAUUUAUAUAUCAUACAUUGGCAGUCCCAUAAUUCAGCUGUGUUGAUAUUGAUUGAUGUUUUAAGAUUUUGGGUGUGCAGAUUUUGGUAUGUAU